rnacentral:rRNA from 1 species
UACGAAGGGGGCGAGCGUUGUUCGGAUUUACUGGGCGUAAAGGGCGCGCAGGCGGCCAUUCAAGUCAGGCGUGAAAGCCCCGGGCUUAACCUGGGAGGUGCGCUUGGGACUGGGUGGCUAGAGAUCGGGAGAGGAGAGUGGAAUUCCCAGUGUAGAGGUGAAAUUCGUAGAUAUUGGGAAGAACACCGGUGGCGAAGGCGG